AUGAAAGGGUCGAGGGAAGGCGAUCCGAUAUGCAUCAGUGACAGCGAAGAAACAGUUCAAAUGGAAACCAAUGGGUUAUCUCUCAAGACUCAGGAAAUCGAGUCAAAAAGGAAGUGGGAGACAGCCGCAGACCUCAGCCGCCGCUUUUGCAGUAACCAACAUGAAAGUCCAUGGGAAGGCGGUACAGCGAAGCACAUCGCAUGCCAUUCCUCUGGGUACCAAGGCCACUCUUCGCGAGAGUGGCCUCCAUGGAAUGAUGGUUCGCUCGCUACCACGCUAGGAGAAGUACUGGACCCCGACAAGUCUAGUCCAAUAUUCAGAGCAUGUAAAACAAAAAACUCAGGGAAGAGAAGGAUAUGCUUUACAUGCCGUGAAGAAGGUCACUAUGACCGUCAGUGUCCUCAAAAGUUAAGAGCUAUGUCUGCCAACCUGUCAAAAGUAGUCGAAGAGUUGCCUCCACGGCAUGAUGGUUCACUCACUACCCCGCUAGGGAGGCAAAGCAGUAACCAACAUAAGAGUCCAUGGGAAGGCAGCACAACAGAGCACAUCGCAUGCCAUUCCUCUGGGUACCAAGGCCAAUAUUCGCAAGAGUGGCUUCUGUGGAAUUAUGGUUUGCUCACUACCUUGCUAGGGUGGCAAAAUGAUUUCCGCUUUUUCAGUAACCAACAUGAAAGUCCUUCGGAAGGCGGCCAAACAGAGCACAUCGCAUGCCAUUCCUCUGGGUACCAAGGCCACUAUUCGCAAGAGUGGCCUCCACGGAAUUAUGGUUCGCUCACUACCUCACUAGGGAGGCAAAAAGAUUUCCACUUUUGCAGUAGUCAACGUGAAAGUCCAUGGGAAGGCGGCAAAACAGAGUAUCAGGACAAAAUGAAUGGGAUAAUCACUUGUUUGGUUUGUGGCAAGGAAGGACAUUACAGUUGUGACUGCCCUUUCAAGGAUCAGGAGCACAAAGUCAUUUGCACAUUCUGUAGCAAAAAUGGCCACUGUAGCAUGUGGUGUUGCCAGCAGAACAAGUCGGAGAGUCGCGCUUGCACCCGCUGUGGAGAGAUAGGGCAUACUGCUAGUACACAUGGUCUCGGUUGCUCAAGCUGUGACGAAUAUCAUCUGGAUGGAGAGUGCCGACUGAGCGAAGUUAAAUGCUUUGUUUGUGAAUGUCAGGAUCAUUAUCUUGCUCAGUGCCCCUUGAAUUUCCAAGGUGCUCUGCGGCUUGCACUAUCAAAACGAGGCAGCACAUCAUCUGCACCUGCCAAGUGUUCCGCAAAAUCAGAAGGAAAAGUACUUAGAGCCGAUGGGUCUAGUCCAAUUUGCUUUACGUGCCGUGAAGAAGGUCACUUUGCCUUUCAGUGUCCUCAGAACAGCCCCAGCGUGUCCGAAGAAUUUGAAGAGAGCAGCACUAUAGCUACAGCCACCAACCUGUCCAAAGAAUUAGAAGGCCAGGACCCUGGUACUGCCAAACAAUCAUCAGAAACGAAGCCGAUAUUGUACGAUCAGUGUUGCCCCUCAAAAGCAAAAGUACUGACCUCCAACAAGUCUAGUCCAAUGGUUAGAACAUGUAAAACAAAAACAGAAGGGGAGAAAAGGAUGUGCUCUACAUGCCGUGAAGAAGGUCACUAUGCCCGUAUGUGUCCGCAGAAGUUCGGAGCUAUAUCUGGCAACACGUCAAAAGAAUUAGAAGAGAGCAGCACUAUUGCUACAUCCUCCAACAUGUCCAAAGUAUUGGAAGAACAGGACCCUGGUACUGCUAAACAUUCAUCAGAUAUGAAGUGGGUUCUUCGAUGUGCUAGCUGUGGUCAGGAAGGGCACAGGGCCAGGAGCUGUCCAACACGUGUGUUUAUAUGCUCCUUAUGCAAUGAAGAAGGCCACAAAGCCAAGAAAUGCCCUCAGAAGCGCCAGAAGCGUUAA
rnacentral:rRNA from 1 species